rfam:Gossypium raimondii Chr01_contig_715, whole genome shotgun sequence.
AGACCAUAGUGUGGGCAUAUUUUAUCUAUAUUUUAAAAUUUUUCCAGGCUUCCUGAAAGCUUUCUCCUUUUAGCUGCUUAAAGAUAGCAAUCUCUUUUCUUAGUUG